CCUACGCGUGGCUGCAGUGAGGAAUCUUGGUCAAUGGGCGCGAGCCUGAACCAGCCAAGUCGCGUGAGGGAAGACGGCCCUACGGGUUGUAAACCUCUUUUGCCGGGGAGCAACGGGCGCCACGUGUGGCGCCACUGAGAGUACCCGGAGAAAAAGCAUCGGCUAACUCCGUGCCAGCAGCCGCGGUAAUACGGAGGAUGCGAGCGUUAUCCGGAUUUAUUGGGUUUAAAGGGUGCGUAGGCGGAGCUGUCAGUCAGUGGUCAAAUGGAGGGGCUCAACCCCUUCCCGCCAUUGAAACUGGCGCUCUUGAGUGGAAGAGAAGUAGGCGGAAUGCGUGGUGUAGCGGUGAAAUGCAUAGAUAUCACGCAGAACCCCGAUUGCGAAGGCAGCAUGCCGGCUUCCGACUGACGCUGAAGCACGAAAGCGUGGGGAUCGAACAGGAUUAGAUACCCUUGUAGUC
rnacentral:rRNA from 1 species